AUCUCUGGUGGUAACAUGUUAGGUAUGGCUAGUGAUUGAUCAUCGUCAUUUGAGCCUUGUGACACCAGUUCAGUUGACGUUAAUUGUCCUGAAGACGUUGAAGAGGUUGCUAGUAAAGCGUCGCCCAAACCAGAAGUUAGUUUUCAUGGUAUGCUAACGGAUUACGCGAACGUUGUUAGCAAGAAGUUCAUAUCAAAUAUUUAUGGUCUCGUUCCAUCGUCUUCUGAGAAGAGCAUAUACAUUGAAGAAUCUAGUGGUAGUACAGUUUAGAAUCCUUUCGAUACGAG